UGCUGGAUAGCUCAGUCAGUAGAGAAUAAGAUUCUUAAUUUCAGGGUUGUGGGUUCAAGUCCCAUGCUAGGGAA